rnacentral:rRNA from 1 species
GACGAACGCUGGCGGCGUGCUUAACACAUGCAAGUCGAACGGUAAGGCCCUUCGGGGUACACGAGUGGCGAACGGGUGAGUAACACGUGGGUGAUCUGCCCUGCACUUCGGGAUAAGCCUGGGCAACUGGGUCUAAUACCGGAUAGGACUCUGGGAUGCAUGUCCUGGGGUGGAAAGCUUUUGGGGUGUGGGAUGGGGCCGCGGCCUAUCAGCUUGUUGGUGGGGUGAUGGCCUACCAAGGCGACGAGAGUAAGCCAGCCUGAGAGGGCGAACGGUGACAUUGGGACGCAGUGACGGCGCAGACCGGUACGGGAAGCAGCGCUGGGGAGUGUUGCACGAGGGGCACAAGCCUGAUGCAGCGUGGCUGCGUGAGGGAUGACGGCCUUGGGGUUGUAAACCUCUUUCAGCAACGACGAAGCACAAGUGACGGUAGGUGCAGAAGAAGGACCGGCCAACUACGUGCCAGCAGCCGCGGUAA